rnacentral:snRNA from 1 species
UUGCUUCAGCAGCACAUAUACUAGAAUUGGAACAAUAGAAGGUUAGCAUAGCCCCUGCACAAGGAUGACAUGCAAAUUCAUGAAGAGUUCCAUAUUUUU